GGGGGCUGGUGGCUGGCCGCUGCUGCCCUUCGGUAGCUGGUCCCUUAACUCAGUGGUGAAUGGCGACCGGAUGGAGCUCUAGGGAAGCGACAGCAGCGGCGGUGACUGCCAGGCGCCCUUCAGCGGACACCUGGGACUUGCAGUGUUAUGUGCCCAGGGAUUUUCCUGGACGGGAUUGUGAAGUAGCGGCAGGACAGUGGGUCAUUGUGUAUGUACAGAAGUGAUGUGGAUUCCUCCCAGACUCAUUAGUGACCAGGGCUGCUGGGCCUGUUUGGGUUUCCUAGACUAGAGAAGAAGACAGGAACCAGGAUGGGAAGACGGACAUGUUACAUUUUAAGCUGGAGCUUCCCCUGCAGUCCACGGAGCACGUUCUCGGUGUGCAGCUCAUCCUGACUUUCUCCUAUCGAUUACACAGGAUGGCGACCCUCGUGAUGCAGAGCAUGGCGUUUCUCCAGUCCUCCUUUCCUGUCCCGGGAUCCCAGUUAUACGUGAACGGAGACCUGAGGCUGCAGCAGAAGCAGCCGCUGAGCUGUGGUGGCCUAGAUGCCCGAUACAAUGUAAGGGCGCUUCUCAUUGUCCAG
rnacentral:lncRNA from 1 species